GUAAGUAUGAGAACUGCUCUGCAUUGAAUA
rnacentral:piRNA from 1 species